rnacentral:lncRNA from 1 species
UGUGUAGGCCAAUGACAAAUGAAAUCUAAAUUUAAUCGAUUUUAAAUUCAUGCUGUAACACAACAUUUUUUGGAAAAAGUCAAGGGGUGUGGAUACUUUCUUAAGGCACUGUAUCCUAAAAGGGCCUUUUAUUUGGUCUUAUCGAAAUACUGAUUUCCUGAGUAUACUGUCUGCAUUCAUUUCGGACUUUCUUUGAACAACGUGGGUGAUACAGUAGCUCUGUGUGUACCCAAAAAUAAAUCUGAAACCUAAAACCAGGAUGGCACAGGAGUAGGCUUACUGAGUCAUGGUGACAGGCAGGUUUAAAAGGUAGGCUUACUGAGUCAUGAUGACAGGCAGGUUUAAAAGGUAGGCUUACUGAGUCAUGAUGACAGGCAGGUUUAAAAGGUAGGCUUGCUGAGUCAUGGUGACAGACAGGUUUAAAAGG